CUACGGGUCGCUCCAGUGGGGAAUAUGAGACAAUGGACCAAAAGUCUGAUCCAGCAAUUCUGUGUGCACGAUGAAGGUUUUCGGAUCGUAAAGUGCUUUCAACAGGGAAGAAGUUCUGACGGUACCUGUAGAAGAAGUGACGGCUAAAUACGUGCCAGCAGCCGCGGUAAUACGUAUGUCACAAGCGUUAUCCGGAUUUAUUGGGCAUAAAGGGCAUCUAGGCGGCUUAGUAAGUCUGAUGUGAAAAUGCGGGGCUCAACUCCGUAUUGCGUUGGAAACUACUUGGCUAGAGUAUUGGAGAGGUAGGCGGAACUACAUGUGUAGUGGUGAAAUUCGUAGAUAUAUGUAGGAAUUCCGAUGAUGCAUGUCGCCUACUGGACAAAUAUUUACGAUGAAGUGCGAAAGCGCGGGUAGAAACGAGGAUUAGAUACCCGCGUAGUC
rnacentral:rRNA from 1 species